rnacentral:rRNA from 1 species
GACGAACGCUGGCGGCGUGCUUAACACAUGCAAGUCGAGCGGAGCGGCGAACGGGUGAGUAACGCGUGAGUAACUGCCCCCCUCUCUGGGAUAACAGUUGGAAACGGCUGCUAAUACCGGAUAGUGGGGGAUGACUCGCGUCCUAUCAGCUUGUUGGUGGUGUAGUGGCCUACCAAGGCGACGACGGCUAGCCGGCCUGAGUGGGCGACCGGCCACAUUGUGCUUCGUGACGGCCCAAACUCGUACGGGCGGCAGCGGUGGGAAAUAUUGCAGAGUGGGGGAAACCCUGAUGCAGCAACGCGCGUGCGGGAUGACGGCCUUCGGGUGGUAAACCGCUUGCAGCCAUGACGCGGUAGUGGCAGAGGAAGCACCGGCUAACUACGUGCCAGCAGCCGCGGUAAUAC